rnacentral:ncRNA from 2 species
GGACAGGACUCUGGAGAGACUCCGGUUCGCGGAGCACCGAAGGGGCAAUACGUGGCAAGAAGCGCGUGAAAACUCUCAGGUAAAAGGACAGGGAUUGCAGA